UAACAUACUAUAACAUUUAAGGUUGAGUUUUGAAUUAAAUGUUGGUUUCUGUGUGUGAUACUAGAUAUGCAUUUUUUUUUAAGAAACUACAUAAUUUAACAAUGAAGUGUAGAUAAUCACUACAACAAAGUGAAGUAAUUGUCACUUAAGGUUCUUAUUUUAAUACUUUUCCAUAAAACUUGUGUAGAAUUUGGAAAUAUCUUGUCUUGAAAAGAAUUUGGAUAUGAGACUCGGUGUAGUCACCAAAGAAACUAAACCUGGUCUAACUGGUUGUUGAGAUCAUCUGCACUUUGGUCAGGAAAUUAUCUCCUAAUCCUAAUAGUGCUGCUAUAAUGGCCAUGGGUGUUAACAUCUUGGCAAAGAGAUUGAAAUGAUUGGGGUUCUUGAUUGAGUUUCUAUCCCAU